GACUUGUAAUGAGGGCUGAGCAGGGAAAUAAGGUGGGCCCUCUCUGGGCACCUGCCAUUGUGUUGGCUGAACCCCAGUUCAGGCCUAAUUAAGAAAAAUGAUCAUCUGGGAGAACUGAGUUUGGGGGUGUGUGACAGACCAGGAGGGUGGGCCACCUGUCAGCAACACUGUGGCUCCUGAGAUUCCCCUCCACGGAGCCUGGAGGCUCCCUACUGGGAGCCCCAUUGCCUUUUCAUUGUGAGAGGCAUGUUCGUGCUUUCCGGAAACUUUUGAAAAACACUGUGUUUUGAACGUUCGUCCCCAAAGAGAGGCCAGGGGCUCAAGGGGAAUCUUCCUGACGCAGGGGUUGAACUGGCGUCUCCUGAAUCGUAGAUAGUCUCCUGCAUUGCAGGUGGAUGCUUUACCGCUGAGCCACCAGAGGAGCCCAUGCGUGUGUGUGAGCAAACCUCAAACCCAUGGCAGUUCCUGCAACCCUGCUGUGCUACCUACCUUCUAGCAGCCUUGGUGGAAUGGAGGUGAAGUCUCAGAAAGGGCUUGGAUUCUGAGAUGGCUUGUGCCCUUGUGGGAGACUGGUAUUCUCCAGUGAACCGUGGGUCUUGGAACACAGACUCUUGGGUGGCCCUUCCCACGGUAACACAGGACUUGGUCAUGUGAGUUACUCUGGCCAAUGUCACAACAGAAAGCAGACAGAGGCUAGAUAAGUGCUAGUAUUCUGAGGACUGGUUCUCUUGGGAGCCUCUCUUGGCUGUUGGGCAGCAGGCUCCAGUUGAUUACCCAAUGAUGAGAUGCCACAUGUACUGACAGCCUUUGUGCUCAGAGACCAUCUUUCAGGGACUUGCCUGGUGGUCCAGUGGCUAAGACUCUGUGCUCCCAAUGCAGGGGGCCUGAGUUCGAUCCCUGGUCUAGAGAACUAGACCCCACAUGCUGAAACUAAAAUCUUCCGUGCUGCAGCUAAAGACCCCAAAUGCCUCAAUGAAGAUCAACGAUCCUGAGUGCCGUGAUUAAGACCCAGCACAGCCAAAUAAAAAAAUAA
ensembl:lncRNA